rnacentral:lncRNA from 12 species
ACACACUCAUUAACACACUCAUUAACACACUCAUUAACACACUCAUUACGACACUCAUUAACACACUCAUUAACACACUCAUUAACACACUCAAUAUCACUAUCACACACUCGUUAUCACUAUCACGCACUCAUUAUCACUAUCACGCGCCCAUUAUCACUAUCACACGCUCAUUACCACGCUCGGUCCCGCACACUCACACUCAUUACCACACUCAUUACCGCACUCAUUAACACACUCGUUAUCACUAUCACGCACUCAAUAUCACUAUCACGCGCUCAUUAUCACUAUCACACGCUCAUUACCACACUCCUCCCUCACACUCAUUACCACACUCAUUAUCACUAUCACGCACUCAUUAUCACUAUCACGCGCCCAUUAUCACUAUCACACGCUCAUUACCACGCUCGCUCCCGCACACUCACACUCAUUACCACACUCGUUAUCACUAUCACGCACUCAUUAUCACUAUCACGCGCCCAUUAUCACUAUCACACGCUCAUUACCACGCUCGCUCCCGCACACUCACACUCAUUACCACACUCGUUAUCACUAUCACGCACUCAUUAUCACUAUCACGCGCCCAUUAUCACUAUCACACGCUCAUUACCACGCUCGCUCCCGCACACUCACACUCAUUACCACACUCGUUAUCACUAUCACGCACUCAUUAUCACUAUCACGCGCCCAUUAUCACUAUCACACGCUCAUUACCACGCUCGCUCCCGCACACUCACACUCAUUACCACACUCGUUAUCACUAUCACGCACUCAUUAUCACUAUCACGCGCCCAUUAUCACUAUCACACGCUCAUUACCACGCUCGCUCCCGCACACUCACACUCAUUACCACACUCGUUAUCACUAUCACGCACUCAUUAUCACUAUCACGCGCCCAUUAUCACUAUCACACGCUCAUUACCACGCUCGCUCCCGCACACUCACACUCAUUACCACACUCGUUAUCACUAUCACGCACUCAUUAUCACUAUCACGCGCCCAUUAUCACUAUCACACGCUCAUUACCACGCUCGCUCCCGCACACUCACACUCAUUACCACACUCGUUAUCACUAUCACGCACUCAUUAUCACUAUCACGCGCCCAUUAUCACUAUCACACGCUCAUUACCACGCUCGCUCCCGCACACUCACACUCAUUACCACACUCGUUAUCACUAUCACGCACUCAUUAUCACUAUCACGCGCCCAUUAUCACUAUCACACGCUCAUUACCACGCUCGCUCCCGCACACUCACACUCAUUACCACACUCGUUAUCACUAUCACGCACUCAUUAUCACUAUCACGCGCCCAUUAUCACUAUCACACGCUCAUUACCACGCUCGCUCCCGCACACUCACACUCAUUACCACACUCGUUAUCACUAUCACGCACUCAUUAUCACUAUCACAAGGCCCCGGCCCCUCCGCAGCUCCCGGGGCGGUCGGUGCCGCCCGGGCACCCGUGGGGCGCGGGGGUGUCGGUGGUACCGGGGGGAGCCCACAGGCGGCUGCGGUGGGUGGCGGGUGCUGCCCAGGCCCCGGGGCCGGGGGAGCUCCCUGAAGGGGGGGUGACCGGGGGGGGGGGGGCCCUGAAGGGUGGGUGACCUCAGGCGGGACCCGGCUUGGCCGUUCCGGAGCCCCAGGAGCUGCUGCCGCCAGCUGAAGCCUUUGGGGGAGCUGGAGGGGCCCUGCAGAUCGAGCCCGGUUCUCACCCCACAAGUCAGUGAUCUUCCCGGUAAUAAAUAACCCGCCUGGGUGCUCAGAAGGACCCGGGGGUGGUCGGGUUGGACUCAAAGUGUGGUGAGAUCCCGUGUCCAGGUGGGAUCCUGUGUCUGGGUGUACCUGCCUCAGUUUUUCUAUUCACCCGUGCCCGGAACCAGCACUCGGCUUGACUGACAGGCAAACGCUUUGUUCCGCCUCAGUUGCCGUCUAUAUUUUCCUCCUUUUAGGGAACUCGCUUAGAAGCUUGUUUUGAAUGGAAGAAGUCCAGGUUUGGAGCAGCCGCGUUUAUUUCUUGUUGUUUUGGCUGUCAACCCAGCCACCUUGUGCCGUGAGGAUCGGCAGAGGCGGGAGAG